UACGUAGGGUGCAAGCGUUAAUCGGAAUUACUGGGCGUAAAGCGUGCGCAGGCGGUGAUGUAAGACAGUUGUGAAAUCCCCGGGCUCAACCUGGGAACUGCAUCUGUGACUGCAACGCUGGAGUGCGGCAGAGGGGGAUGGAAUUCCGCGUGUAGCAGUGAAAUGCGUAGAUAUGCGGAGGAACACCGAUGGCGAAGGCAAUCCCCUGGGCCUGCACUGACGCUCAGGCACGAAAGCGUGGGGAGCAAACAGG
rnacentral:rRNA from 1 species